AUCCAGACUCCUACGGGAGGCAGCAGUGGGGGAUAUUGCACAAUGGGGGGAACCCUGAUGCAGCGACGCCGCGUGGGUGAAGGAGUAUUUCGGUAUGUAAAGCCCUAUCGGCAGGGAAGAAGCAAGACGGUACCUGACUAAGAAGCCCCGGCCAACUACGUGCCAGCAGCCGCGGUAAUACGUAGGGGGCGAGCGUUAUCCGGAUUCACUGGGGGUAAAGGGAGCGUAGACGGCCAGGCAAGCCCGGGGUGAAAGCCCGGGGCGCAGCCCCGGGACUGGCCUUGGAACUGCAUGGCUGGAGUGCGGGAGGGGCAGGCGGAAUUCCUGGUGUGGCGGGGAAGUGCGUAGAUAUCAGGAGGAACACCGGCGGCGAGGGCGGCCUGCUGGACCGCGACUGACGUUGAGGCUCGAAAGCGUGGGGAGCGAACAGGAUUAGAUACCCCCGUACA
rnacentral:rRNA from 1 species